AAAUAGAAUGCCUUCCCAUUUGUCCUCCAGGAAGAAGAAAUGCCAGAUGUAGAAAUUGACAUUGAUGAUCUUCUUGAUGCAGACAGUGAAGAAGAGAGAGCUUUAAAAUUACGGGAAGCUCUCGUAGACUGCCACAAACCAACAGAGGAAUUUAUCAAGGAGCUGCUCUCUCGGAUAAGAGGCAUGAGGAAACUGAGCCCCCCGCAGAAGAAGACUGUGUAAUUCUGCACAGGGUGGAGCUGCCUGGAGACCAAGACUGGGUCCCAGGAACUGGACUUUACUCAGACUAUUUCACUUUUUUCGGGGAGGGGGCAUCUGUUAGACAUUUAUUCAAGAGCGUUCUGUUUUUUUUGUUUUUUAAGGGUUUCAUUAGUGUACUAUUUUAAUAGCAAAGAUACCACUCUGGUUUCAGCCCAACCAGGAUUGUCAAACCAGACAGACAUCAUCCAAGGAUGGGCUGGGCUAGGCAGUAUUUUCUUCGAGAAAUCCGAUGUUGAUGACCUAACUAUACAGGGAUGAUAGUUUAUUUGUUUUUUUAACAACUAGUUGGGUAAUCCUUCUUUCUUAAGUUCUGCAUUUGACUCAGACGUCGAAUUUCUCAUGCUUGUAUAUAUCUACACACAACAGAGUUCCAGCGUAGAUGUGAGCUUUAUUUCACAUUGAUGAAAUGAACGUGUGGUCGUCCUUUAACUGGAGGUCACAGCACAGUGUGUUGGCCAGAGGCCACUAGAUAUUCUUCAUGUGAGUGCUGCUGACCUCCAACAUCCGCUUUAUGCACCAAAGUGAAAGAAUCCAGUGUAUCCGUUAUUUGAAUGAGCUACACUACAAAAGUGUUGAGUUGGUCAAGGGCUUAAUUUAUGGACUUUCUAUUAUUUCAUUCAUUGGGAUGCUUUGCCAGGUCGUGUACUUAUUGCCUCAUUUGUGGUACUUUAAAGUUUUACGAAUCCUUUGUUGGAAGAACUACUGGGAUGUCUAGAGAGGAGCCCUCGCUAUCUGAGCAGUGUUUUCUGUGGAAAAUGGGAGCACUGGGUAGUGAUGAAUUCUCUGCUUUAAACCAGGUACUGUGUAAUAUUCUCUCCAUGAAAGCAGGUCAAAAGGAAGCCAGCAGAUUAUGCAUCUCCCUUCUUAGAAGUAGGUUCUGGUCACUUCUGUGCCUGGGCAGCAGCAGACCAGAGGGGUGUGCUCAGUGGUGAGCAGAGGGAGAGGUGGGGAAGCCUCUCCCACUCUCAAGAAAGUUGGCAGAGGAGCAUUGGCUGGUCGGGAAGCUCGGUGGAGAGUGCAUUUCUGAUUUCUCUAGUGGCAUAUGGUGAGGACUCCGGCUCUAGGCACCCGGAUUCCCUUGCCUGGAGCUAGGCCUGGGGCACCUGCCCUGCCCCUUUUAGUUACACACCGGCUCCUUGGGGGAGGCUCAAAAUUCAGAUGGACUCAGGUGGAGUCAAAGGUCAGAGUAGGAACUCUUGCUUCCCUCCAGGAGGUCCCGCUGCCUCCCCACAGAGGCCCCACCUACAGUGAGCUAUGUCUGGGGGGGUCCUGUCAGAGCACAGGGGUCAGGCAUUUUCUAUCAAGGGUGCUUUGAACAUAUUUUAUUUUUUAAAAGAACUAUGUUUGUGAAUUUUAUGUAUACUGGCAAGCUUUUGAAAAUGUAUUUAAUUUUGUAAUGUUUACCAAUGAUUUCUUUACAAGCUAUUUACUCAAAUAAAUGGAGCUGCUUACAACUCUG